UACGAAGGGGGCUAGCGUUGCUCGGAAUCACUGGGCGUAAAGCGCACGUAGGCGGAUUUCUAAGUCAGGGGUGAAAUCCUGGAGCUCAACUCCAGAACUGCCUUUGAUACUGGGAAUCUUCGAGUCCGGGAGAGGUGAGUGGAACUCCGAGUGUAGAGGUGAAAUUCGUAGAUAUUCGGAAGAACACCAGUGGCGAAGGCGGCUCACUGGCCCGGUACUGACGCUGAGGUGCGAAAGCGUGGGGAGCAACAGG
rnacentral:rRNA from 1 species